AGUGGGGUAAGCUAAGCUUAAGCUGUUGGGCUCAUAACCCAAAAAUAGAAUUCACUCUCCCCCCUA
rnacentral:tRNA from 1 species